rnacentral:rRNA from 1 species
ACCCAACAGCUAGCCUCCCCCUCUAAAACAAAAUAAAUUUAUAACCUACUCAAAAACCCCUCCAACCAAACCAUUUUUCCCCCCAAGUAAGGGCGACAGAAAGGGUAAAACGAGAGCUACAGAAACUGUACCGCAAGGGAACGCUGAAAAAAAAAUGAAAAAAAUCAGUAAAGUAAUCAAAAGCAGAGACUAAUCCUCGUACCUUUUGCAUCAUGAUUUAGCAAGUCAUCCCAAGCAAAAAGACUUUUAGUUUGACCCCCCGAAACUAGACGAGCUACUCCAAGGCAGCCUAAUAAAUAGGGCCAACCCGUCUCUGUGGCAAAAGAGUGGGAAGACCUUCGAGUAGAGGUGACAGACCUACCGAGCCUAGCUAUAGCUGGUUGCCUGAGAACUAAAUAAAAGUUUAGCCUCUACUUAUCUCCAACCCCGAUAGUCCUACCACAAACCUCGGCUCAGAGAUCCUUAGAGAGUUAUUAAAAAGGGGUACAGCCCUUUUUAACAAAGAUACAACUUUUCCGAGUGGAUAAUAAUCAUAAUUAAUUUAGGUAAGCGCCAAGGUGGGCCUAAAAGCAGCCAUCCUUUAAGAAAGCGUUAAAGCUCCGACACAUUCUAGCACCUUUAAUACCGACAAUAAAACUACACUCCCUCAACACUACCAGGCCACUCUAUUAAUCAAUAGAAGAGAUUAUGCUAAAAUGAGUAAUUAGAAAAUACACUUUUCUCACCGCACACGUGUAAACCGGAUCGGACCUCCCACCGGAAAUUAAUCGGCCCCAAGCCAAGAGGGUAUUAAGAACCAAACAAAUAACAAGAAAACCCCUUAAUAUAAAACCGUUUUCCCUACACCGGUGUGCUGCCCCGUGAAAGACUAAAAGGAGAAGAAGGAACUCGGCAAACAAUAUCCCUAGCCUCGCCUGUUUACCAAAAACAUCGCCUCUUGAAUUCCUAUAAGAGGUCCCGCCUGCCCCGUGACUUAUUGUUUAACGGCCGCGGUAUCUUGACCGUGCAAAGGUAGCGUAAUCACUUGUCUUUUAAAUGAAGACCCGUAUGAAUGGCAAAACGAGGGCUUAACUGUCUCCUUCCCCCAGUCAAUGAAAUUGAUCUCCCCGUGCAGAAGCGGGGAUAUUCACAUAAGACGAGAAGACCCUAUGGAGCUUUAGACAUAUAGACAGAUCACGUAAAUAACCUUAAUGAAAAGACAAAACCAAAUGACCCCUGUCGUGAUGUCUUUGGUUGGGGCGACCCCGGGGAAAUAAAAAACCCCCGAACGGAAUGAAGACACCUUAACUUCAUAAACAAGAGCCACAGCUCACAAAAUCAGAACUUCUGACCCAAAGAUCCGAUAUAAUCGAUCGACGGACCGAGUUACCCUAGGGAUAACAGCGCAAUCCCCUUUCAGAGUCCCUAUCGACAAGGGGGUUUACGACCUCGAUGUUGGAUCAGGACAUCCUAAUGGUGCAGCCGCUAUUAAGGGUUCGUUUGUUCAACGAUUAAAGUCCUACGUGAUCUGAGUUCAGACCGGAGUAAUCCAGGUCAGUUUCUAUCUAUGAAAUGUUUUCUUCCAGUACGAAAGGAUCGAAGAAAAAAGGUCUAUGCUUAAAGCAAACCUUACCCCAACCUAAUGAAAACAACUCAAUUAGGUAAGAAACAUAUUCCCACACCGAAGAUAAACGAUGU